AAUCGACUCGCUUUGCAUAAGAACGCUGCAGGUUGGGCUAGGCAAGGUUUUGUUGUUGCCAUUUUAAGGAGAAGCCUGUUGGGGCUCAGAAAGGUGAAGUAUCUUGCCUGAGGUCCCACCGCCAGCAAGUGACGGAGGAAGGAACCUCCAAGCCCUCUUCCCUUUCCUCUCUACUCUUGCUGCCUCUUCAUUCAUAUUCCUUGAUUCCCUCCUGAUUGGCUCAAGCUGUUUGGUGUUUGCUGCGGGCCACGUGCUGUGUGCUAGACGGGCGGCUUCACAGGAAGGAUGAUGGAGAUGGAAGGGCCGAACUGAACCCGGGAGCUUUCAGCUCACAUCCAGAAUGAGAAGAUGCCCGUUGAACCCCGUCCCCUAUAGUACUCGUGCCUGGAAUUUUGAUGAUGGCUGCACGACCCUGGACACUGCCCAAGGUCCACGGCACCCACAAUAGCACCACUGAUAACCCCGCUCCGUUUCCAUGUUUAGAAGUGCACAGCGGAGCGAAAUUCGGAGCGAGCGUCCUCCAGGAGAAUGUCAGGGAGUUUAUUUCGGGCCCACCGCAUGACCAGUGAUGGCAAGCCAAACUAUAAGAUGUUGUGCAUCUCGGGUGUCCUAUUUGAAGAUCGCACGGAGGAGGCCGUCCCGCUGCCUUCAGUCCCUCCACGGUGCGUCAAUUACGGACCUCGCGCGGCAGAGAGCAUCUCGGAGCGCUGGCCCUCACGUGACGUCGUCAUUUGUGAUCCUUGACAUGGAGGCCAUAUAUGGACAAACCUCCCGUCGUCGAGUCAGCCGGAGAAGCUCACUCUCCAAGCCCUGUUGCCUUGUGCCUCCACUCUGCUUUUGAAAAUCAAGAGCCUAAAUCGUGGGUAAAGAGUCACAGGGAACAGAAAGGGCGCUGGGGGUGGCCAGCAGUGGAGGGUCUAGCCGGACACACUUCCACUAAAAUAUGGCAUCAUCUGUGGGUGGGGGGCUGGGGUAACGGGGUGAUGGGCAUGAAGGAGGGCACAGGAUGGAAUGAGCCCUGGGUGUUGCACGCACCCGAUGAGUCCCGGAACUAGACCUGUGAAACUAACGGU